UACGUAGGUGGCGAGCGUUGUCCGGAAUUACUGGGCGUAAAGCGCGUGUAGGCGGAUGAGCAAGUCUGCUGUGAAAGCUCCUGGCUUAACCGGGAGUGGUCGGUGGAAACUGCUCGUCUGGAGGACGGUAGAGGCUGGUGGAAUUCCCGGUGUAGUGGUGAAAUGCGUAGAGAUCGGGAGGAACACCUGUGGCGAAGGCGGCCAGCUGGGCCGGACCUGACGCUGAGACGCGAAGGCGUGGGGAGCGAACGGG
rnacentral:rRNA from 1 species